GGAAUUGUAGCUCAGUGGUAAAGUGUUUAUUUAGCAUGUAUAAGAGCCUAGGUUCAAUCCCCAGCACCA
rnacentral:tRNA from 1 species